UACAGAGGGUGCAAGCGUUGUUCGGAAUUAUUGGGCGUAAAGGGCGCGUAGGCGGUGCGGUAAGUCUGCGGUGAAAUCUCCCGGCUCAACUGGGAGGCUGCCGUGGAAACUGCCGUGCUUGAGUGUGGGAGAGGUGAGUGGAAUUCCCGGUGUAGCGGUGGAAUGCGCAGAUAUCAGGAGGAACACCAAUAGCGAAGGCAGCUCGCUGGGACGGUACUGACGCUAAGGCGCGAAAGCGUGGGGAGCGAACAGG
rnacentral:rRNA from 1 species